GGCCUGAUAGCACAACGGUUAGUGUGUCUACUUAAUUUUCAUCUGGUUGAAGCUUUAGCAGAAGGUCCCCGUUCGAUUCGGGGUCAGGUCA